rnacentral:tRNA from 1 species
UCCCUGGUGGCUCAGAUAGUAAAGCGUCUGCCUGCAAUGCGGGAGACCUGGGUUCGAUUCCUGGGUGAGGAA